rnacentral:tRNA from 2 species
GGCGAGAUAGCUCAGUUGGUAGAGCACACGACUGAAAAUCGUGGUGUCCCCGGUUCGAGCCCGGGUCUCGCCA